rnacentral:rRNA from 1 species
GACGAGCGCUGGCGGCGUGCUUAACACAUGCAAGUCGAACGGAAAGGCCCUGCUUGCAGGGUACUCGAGUGGCGAACGGGUGAGUAACACGUGGGUGAUCUGCCCUGCACUUCGGGAUAAGCCUGGGAAACUGGGUCUAAUACCGGAUAGGAGCCAUUUUUAGUGUGAUGGUUGGAAAGUUUUUUUCGGUGUAGGAUGAGCUCGCGGCCUAUCAGCUUGUUGGUGGGGUAAUGGCCUACCAAGGCGGCGACGGGUAGCCGGCCUGAGAGGGUGGACGGCCACAUUGGGACUGAGAUACGGCCCAGACUCCUACGGGAGGCAGCAGUGGGGAAUAUUGCACAAUGGGCGCAAGCCUGAUGCAGCGACGCCGCGUGGGGGAUGACGGCCUUCGGGUUGUAAACUCCUUUCGCUAGGGACGAAGCUUUUUGUGACGGUACCUAGAUAAGAAGCACCGGCUAACUACGUG